UACAGAGGGUGCGAGCGUUAAUCGGAAUUACUGGGCGUAAAGCGUGCGUAGACGGUUAUUUAAGUCGGGUGUGAAAGCCCCGGGCUCAACCUGGGAAUUGCAUUCGAGACUGAAUAGCUAGGGUACGGUAGAGGGAAGUGGAAUUUCCGGUGUAGCGGUGAAAUGCGUAGAUAUUGGGAAGAACACCGGUGGCGAAGGCGGCUCACUGGCUCAUUACUGACGCUCAGGCGCGAUAGCGUGGGGAUCAAACAGG
rnacentral:rRNA from 1 species